UUGGGCGAGAGUAGUACUAGGAGGGGUGACCCCCUGGGAAGUCCUCGUGUUGCAUCCCU
rnacentral:rRNA from 1 species